rnacentral:lncRNA from 1 species
UUACACAAACUUGAACCUUAAUCAUUCCCUUUAUUCCCAUGGAUGUGAUAAGACUCUGCACCCAUGUACAAUGGAGUUGAACCACGGGUUAAGGGGAAGUUCCCUUCAUCCAGACAUGACUUGUAGUCCCUGUUUUACUCCACCAAAGCUUAUUUCAGGUCAGCCUCAGGAGAUCAUUCUCCCAGGUCAGUCUCAGACAGUAUCACUGAUUAAAUGCUCUCUGUAGAAUGAGGAGCUAAAGAAUGGAAAUUAUAAUGAAGAGAAAGACAGGUGAUGCUUUUGGGAUGAGGUCAGUCUUUCUCCAACCUCCACUUGCUAUUCAUAACCCCCUUGUCACUUCAAUCAAAUUUCCUGGCCAUUCCACAUCCUGGUGUCUUUAUUGUGAAUGGAGGAGCAUGGCCGUGUUCCUUAAACUGUGGGCUGCUUUGCCAACAUUAAGAGAUGUAGCAUGCAGAAAGAAUGCUAGACCUCACCUGAGUCUGUCUCCUUCCCUCUGCCCUAGUGGAAGCCUAUUAUGGGUGGGUCAGAACAUGGACAGCUUGACCCACAACACCACAAUAUGCACUGCUUGGUUCUCUCCUUUCCAAAUAAAUUGUUUCAUUAAUUUUCUGGCAAAGAAAGAGAAGAAGAGCUGGCCGCUUGCCAGGGUUAAUGGGAUCCUUUUGUCAGACUUUGUGGCCUGCAAUGAACCAAGCUUUUACCCAGUGUUAAUCUGCAGGGCACCAUAAUCCGAAUUAGACAGUGUUGCAAGUCUGAUGCUCAAGGAUGCAGAAUGUGUUGAUUCUAAAGCACUGGUCCUGGAGGCAGCUAUAGGUUAGAUUCAAAAGGGGAAACUCCAGAGCAGGGCCCAGGCUGCUCCCAUAAGCAUCCAGGCUGAGUUGAUCUGCAGUUUCCGGGCAUCAACGUUGCUUUUAAUGGCAAUAGCAAUGAAGAAUGAGCCCUUUGAGGGGAAUUGGGUUCUUCGAACACUGCAUCCACAGGCAGACGUCAGCUGCAGAAAAAGUACCCGUUGGCUCUGUUUCUGCUCUUCCAUAACCUUGUCCUCCAUCUUGCCACUUCAGUGAUGGCCCCUGUCUACCACCAAAAUGCCUCUGGACCUCCUAUAGUCUCCUGGGUCCAUGGUGCCAAGAUGGUAGAGUGUACGCUGAGGGGAUAGAGAAUGCGAAUGAAAUGCCUCUUCUGCAUUGGUCCAAAGACCUGCCUGAUGAGCAUUUCCAAAGAUGACUGACUGUUGCUAAGGACCUACAUCCUCCAUAGAAUUUUCCCCUAGGGGCUGGUCAUUAGCAACAUGGAAGUGAGGGGUUAUCUGGUCAAAAGAGAUGUCAUCUUUCACAACAUCUGUGUCCUUGUGCUGAAUUCCUCUGCAGAGCCUGGAUGUUUCGAUCUCCCGUUAAACCCCAGUGUCUGUUUCUAGACUUGCAGAAACCCAAGUCUCCAGCACCGCUUUACUCAGGGCUGAGCUUCCCCUGGGGCUCUGCCAUCAUCAUAGCAUUUCAUGCAUCGUUCAGUCUAUUAUAAAAAUGAUCCUCAAAUGUUUUUUUAUCAUGAGAUGCCAUAGGUUCCGUGAGAUAUUCAAGCAAGACAAAAGAGAAGACAGUGUGUUUCCUUCCCCUCUCUCAGUGGUUGCCACUCUCCAGAGUUAACUGCCUUCGGAGGCCAGAAGAGGGCAGAAGAUCCCCUGGAACUGGAGUUAUAGGCAGUUGUGAAAUGAUGUGGACACUAGGAACCAAACUCCAGGUUCUCUACACAGAGGCUGAGUUUAAGCUGAGUCAACACUCAGGAUUUGGUGGUGACAAACUUUGCCUUUGGGAUGGUUUGAGCAAGUCCCUCUGCAGCAGUGGCCUUGCCUCCCUGAUGAACUGUCUUGGAGUUCAGCUGCAAAGUACAGGGACUGGUUUUAGUGAACUUCACAGAGAAUCUGUGAUGAAGAUGACUAGAGCCAAGGACUCUGUGCUCACCAUUCCCUGGUCUGGAGAGAAGCCUGGAAUCGAGCUAGCAAGCGAGCACCUGACAAGAAUGCCUGUCUUCCUGUUUGUUCUUCGCGGUUAAUGCUAAUGCCUCCUUCAAGACCUGCAGCAACUGUCAGCUCUUCAGAAUCUUCUGAUUAGAGAGGUUAAUCACAGUGACACAAUGUCCCCAAUUCAGAGCAAAGCUGCCCAGCCUUCAACACAGGCUCAAGGACAAUCAGGGGCAAAGCUGUCACACCACCGUAAGGAUCCCUGGCCAAUGCCCAGUCAUUCAGGAUCUAAUAUAUUUUGCAAAGAUCAGAGUAAUAAGUGGGUGAAUUUUGUAGUACAUACAUUUUAAUACUUAAUAAAGCUGUUAAAAAAU